AGAAUCAACGCUGGCGGCGUGCCUAACACAUGCAAGUCGAACGAGAAAGUGGAGCAAUCCAUGAGUAAAGUGGCGCACGGGUGAGUAACACGUGACUAACCUACCUUUUAGUGGGGGGAUAACCUAGGGAAACCUGGGCUAAUACCGCAUAACACUUACGAGUCAAAGCAGCAAUGCGCUGAAAGAGGGGGUCGCGGCCGAUUAGCUAGUUGGCGGGGUAAUGGCCCACCAAGGCAGUGAUCGGUAUCCGGCCUGAGAGGGCGCACGGACACACUGGAACUGAAACACGGUCCAGACUCCUACGGGAGGCAGCAGUGGGGAAUUUUGCGCAAUGGGGGAAACCCUGACGCAGCAACGCCGCGUGGAGGAUGAAGUCCCUUGGGACGUAAACUCCUUUCGAUCGGGACGAUAAUGACGGUACCGGAAGAAGAAGCCCCGGCUAACUCGCGCCAGCAGCCGC
rnacentral:rRNA from 1 species